rnacentral:sRNA from 1 species
CCCCGAGCGCGGCCGCGGACGAAGAUGGCGACCGCCAUGUACUUGGAGCACUAUCUGGACAGUAUCGAGAACCUUCCCUGCGAACUUCAGAGGAACUUCCAGCUGAUGCGAGAGCUGGACCAAAGGACAGAAGAUAAGAAAGCAGAGAUUGACAUCCUGGCUGCAGAGUACAUCUCCACGGUGAAGACGCUGUCUCCAGACCAGCGCGUGGAGCGCCUGCAGAAGAUCCAGAAUGCCUACAGCAAGUGCAAGGAAUACAGUGACGACAAAGUGCAGCUGGCCAUGCAGACCUACGAGAUGGUGGAUAAACACAUUCGAAGGCUUGAUGCAGACCUGGCGCGCUUUGAGGCAGAUCUGAAGGACAAGAUGGAGGGCAGUGAUUUUGAAAGCUCCGGAGGGCGAGGGUUAAAAAAAGGCCGGGGUCAGAAAGAAAAAAGAGGGUCCCGGGGCCGAGGCAGGAGGACGUCAGAGGAAGAUACACCAAAGAAGAAGAAGCAUAAAGGAGGUGGCAACAGCGUUCUGAGUCUUCCUGCUCCUUCCUGCUCGGAACCUGAAGGCCCUGUCCCGACCGUGCCUUUUCUGCGUGAAAGUGGGACUCCUCCUGGUCUCUUCCUCACCCAGUGCUGUUUCUCAAGGUGGCAGUGCUGCUCCUGUCCCAUUGCAAGACGUCGAGACGGGCUGGUAAGGCCAGCUCUGAAGCUGGGCUCUGACGUCCAAGGCACCAAGCAGGCCCCUUCCAGAGGGACAGGAGGAUGGUGCAGGUGGGCAGACGGGUCAUCCUGAGGACCAGUCGGUUGGACCCAAAGCCUGGCCUGCGGGGUGGGAGUGUGCACUCGGGUGCCUCCAAGGGCAUCAUCCUGGGUGUUUGCAGGAGCCCGCCUGCCCCUGGGCUCUGGAGUUCUGUGGCGCGCGUCCCUGACCCAUCAGCACAGUGGGUUUUCAUGCCCCUCGUGGUCACGCUGCGGUGCCAGGCCGCUCUGCCUCAAGGCAGGUCCUGUUCCCUGCUGGGGACCCAGGAACACACACCAUCUUGUCCCUGUGGCCUGCCCUCUUCAGGCCUGUUCCCCACGUGCCCGGGGCUCUUCCUGGAAUGCAGUGUGCCUAGACUGCACAGAUGCUCCGUGUCUCAUCUGAGAUCCCGUGACCUGAGGCUGCCCCCUGCACUGUUGCUGCCCUGUGGCCUUGCUCUGGCGAGGCAGAACCUAUGUGUGUGGAUGAAGGGCAAUGUCACCUGUAGCACCUGGAAUCCCAGGGCUUGGACAGGCAGCCAGCCCCCUGCUAGGAGCCACCUGGAGUGCUGGGAAGCCAUCGGGGCUGGGCGCGGAAGGGCUCGCUGGCACUGUCUGGCGAGGGGUGCCUGCCACACCUUGGGGAGUUAGCACAGAGGGUGCCUCUUGUGGCAGUGGUGCUGAAGGGAGUCAGCAGCCGCUGACAGUUGGGGUCACCCUGGCCUGUGCAAGGGACAGGGCUCCCCAUGGCCUCCUGGUUGCCUCCCUCAGGGCUGGUAGCAGCACUCCCUGGCCACAUGCCAUGGCACUCCCUCAGGCGAGACUGAGAGGCCAGUGAGGCCUGCAUGCUGGCCUCAGCUUCUGGGGUGCCCUUGCUGGGUGGUCCCCUCAGGCCCCCGGCCCUCUCCCACAGCCGUCAAAUCUGGCCAGCGCCCUCGAACCUGGUGAUGCUGAGACACGGGUCAAGUGUCAGCUCAAGAUGUCGGGUCGGGCUUUGUGGACAGAAUUGGACUCGGCACAGAAGAGGAGGGCGUCAGAGAGCGUUUCGGGGACGGUUGGCAGCAGAGGGUGCUGCCCUGCUCUCCGCGGGUGAGAGGUGACUCGAGAGUGCAGGAGCCCCUUGGAGGUGAAGCCACAGGUGGCAUCCCAGAAUCGGCAGGAGACUGAGACGUAGACCCUUGCGUGCCGCUGUUGGAGGAGAGACCCGAAGACUACUUGAGACUGUUGCUUGAAAGCAGUGUCGGCAGCACCUGGACUUGGACUUGUGACACUGAUGGAUUUCAGCUCUAAAGAGAAACGCCUGUCUAUUCCCAGACAGAGAGAAAGAGCAGAAGAGCAGAUUACCCACAAAGGACAGACUUAGGUGGGCGCCCCUGUGCCAGAGGGCAGCGGGGAGGCAGGGUGCAUGCUGAGCCCGAGUGUGUGUGUAUGUGUAUAGGCAAUUGCAAAGGCGUAGAAAAGCUUUAGACAGGGUAUCCAAGGAAAAGCUGAGUGUUGAUUCCCUGUGGGACCCAGACUUCUGCUCCUUGGCUUUCCCUGAUCGUGACUGUUUUUCUCACGGCCACGUUCCUCCUGCUAACCUGCCGUGUUUACGUACCAACUAGAUAUUCUUGGGUUAGAGGGUGGGAUAGGGAAGAUACUUUUUCUUU